AGCUUAGGUUUGGUCAAUAAAAAUUUUGAAAAUUUUUAGGAAGUGCUUCGAUACACUUAUAAGCUU
rnacentral:tRNA from 1 species